AAAAGUCGUAACAAGGUCUCCGUUGGUGAACCAGCGGAGGGAUCAUUACAGAGUUGCAAAACUCCCUAAACCAUUGUGAACGUUACCUAAACCGUUGCUUCGGCGGGCGGCCCCGGGGUUUACCCCCCGGGCGCCCGCCGGAGGUCACCAAACUCUUGAUAAUUUAUGGCCUCUCUGAGUCUUCUGUACUGAAUAAGUCAAAACUUUCAACAACGGAUCUCUUGGUUCUGG
rnacentral:misc_RNA from 1 species